AUGUAUAUGGCGCGUAGUGCAUUUUUCAUUUAUUUAAAAUUUCAUCAUCGCGUACCAUUAUCAAAUGUAUGAAAAUUAAUUGCUAUAAUUUCUUGAUAGAUGGUAAAAAAUCGAGAUACCGGAGCUCUUCCAUCGUGCAUUGCGUUGGCGAAAAUGCAAAACCAGAUGGAAUUACUCGAUCGAGCAGCACCUGACAAUCGUAGCUUGACAUCUGCUCCGUUAUGCGGCUCAUCUACUAAAAACUCACGCCAAGGAAAGAGUAACCCUACACCGUCAACAAACAGUUAUCAAUUCGCUUCUGAAAUUAAGCCAGGAUAAAAUGCAAUCACGCACACAAAACACACAACCAGCAUGCACUCAUACUGCACCACCCAUUCAAACACUAACACCCGACCAGACUCAUGAUGCAGAUGUCAUAUCGUUGAUCAAGGAGGUCUUGGAGGAGCAGAGAAGCAUGAGAGAAAGAAUGGAUGCAAUAGAAAACAAUUAUUAUAUAUUUGCAUAUUUCAGUGCAUGCUUAAACAUCUUAAAGCAGCUCUCGAAUAAAGAGAAUAGAGUAAACAAGAAGAUGCCGCAAUUCUUUCCAUUCGAGACUGUCUAGAACCUUCUUGAUUUUGACAAAGUCUCCGACGAGGAGUACACUAACGCUGGAAGUGUUUUAUUAUUAAUUAAUAUUUUCGACGUUGUGUAGUUUCAUUUCUAAAUAUUUUAAAUUUUUUCCAGGUUACCUAUUUGACCUACAUCGGAGGGGUUAAUGCAUCGGAUGCUGCAGCACUUUAUCUAAAAAAGUGCUUUAAGAUCACCGAAAGCCUUGUCACCGGCGUUACCUGGCUGGGCUCCAAAAAAGCCAAUAUAGUUGCACUCAAGGAAACUCGUUUCGCUGCUGCUUGUGAAGAUGCCAUGUCGGAAAACAAAAAUAUUAGCGAGCCUGAUAAGUCGACAUUUGCAACUGCGAUGACGAAGGCCCUGAAAAGCAUCAAAGAAGAGUAUUGACGUAAGAAAAUCAAGCGUGCAGCCACCAAAGCUGACGUUGAUAACCAGCCUCCACGACAGAGACGAAGACUACUGGAUGCUGUAUACAACGGUGCAAACGUCGACUUUGAAGAAGAGGGCUACGAAAACCAGGAACGCGGUGGCAUCGAGAACGUCGGCGGCAACGAGUACUACGAUAACAUUGAAACGUGGGCGGCAACGAGGACUACGGCAGCCAGGAACGCGGCGGCAUAGAUGACGACAGUGUCAACGAGGACGACGGCAGCAUCGAGGACGACGGCGGCAACGAAGACGACGGCGGGAACGAAGACGACGGCGGCAUCGACGGCGAAGAAGAACGGCUAAUGCAAGUCGGGGUUAUUCAAGACUACAGGUACACGUUGCAGUUAGAGUAUCUAGAGGAAGAUGCUCAGACUCUUCAGCAUCACUUCAACUCACUUCUCCUUCAGUCCCAACUAUGCACCACAAUUUUCAUAAAUAGGAAAGAAAAUCAUGUAGAAAUGUUAUUUUUAUACAAAUUUUCUUAUUAUAUAUAUUUAUCAAAAAUGUAUUAUAUAAUUGAUUAAAAUAUAAAUAAAUAAUCUGUAUAUAUAAAUAAA
rnacentral:lncRNA from 1 species